AGAGAGUGGACCAGGUGGGUUGAAGGCCCGGUGCGGGCGGACCAACCACACUGCAGACUCGAUGUAUAUGGCUAGACUCGGAGGGUGGACCAGGUGGACUGAAGGCCCAGUGCAGCAGACCAAUCACACAGUAGACCCGAAGUGCAUGGCUGUUCUGUUAUGAUAUGACAUGUUAUGUGUAUGGUAUAUGUGGUUGGUAUUUUGGGGGUAUCUCACUAAGCUUUCGGGCUUACAGUUGUGGUUUAACGUUCCAGGUACUUCAGGAGACCGUGGCAAGGCAAAGGCGUGAUCGUACUGCUCCUCAGGUUUAUGUUUUAUGAUAUGGUUCUGGGAAUACUCUGAUAAUAAAUGUAUUGAAAACCUUUUUGUAAUAACUUAAUGAAAUUGGGUUUUUUUGAAAAGUUUAAAUUGGUUGUAAGUUUUCACGGUGUUACAAGUUGGUAUUAGAGCCUUGGUUUGAGUGAAUUGGAGGAACAUUCGUGUGAAUCCAGUCUCAAAUCAUGGAGAGUUUUCAAAGUGAAAUUGAAAUGGUUUUCAAAAAUAAGUAGAGGAGGAUGCGGAGGUACGAUCAGCUAGAGCCAAUAAGUAGACCCCAAAAUACCAUACAAGUUAUUUGAUUAUGUGAUAUGUUAGAACAGCAUGCUAGUACUAGGCUAGGAAUCUUCAGGAAUUGCAUGGUAGAAUUGCCUGAUUAUAUGAUGUCUGCUAGCCUAGGAUUCCCUGUUUUGUGGGGUAGUUACCAGCUCCUCUAGAGGUAAGGAUUGAGUGUUGCCAUGUAUAUGUUUAUCUCUAGGGUGUUGUGGUGAUACUUGAUAUAAAUAUGGGUAGGUGUGGAAGGUAGUAUGGGUCUGUACUACUGAAAGCAUAGGACCCAUACGCGUAUCAAGGAAGUCACAACCCCUAGGGUCGGGUUGGGAUUUGGUUCCCGGGUUAUUGGGGAAGCAUCUGAUUGUCUGGCGAUGUAUUUCCAGUAUGGUGGUUACGAGGCAUGCCAGGGGUGGAUCCGGGUCAGGAUCGGGAUCAGGAGAGGGCGGUCAGGGUGGAUCAGCGCCACCCAAGGUCAUUGGUCGGAUGAGUACGGAUGAGUUGGAUGCCAGGAUUCGUGGGAUCCUAUAUGAUGAGAUUGCUGCUAUGUUCAGGGCGGAGAUGCCGGAGAUGUUUGGGUCGAUCAAGACCGCCAUGGUUGAGUAUAUUGAGGAGCGCUAUGAGGCUCUUGCAGAGACGGCUGCCGCGGCAGCUACAGCGGCUGUAGUAGCGACAGGUGGAGGAGUCGGUCGGGGUUUUCAGUAGCGGGACUUCGAUAAUACGAAGCCCCUACUUUUGAUGGAGUUCAGGAAACGAUCAUUGCUAUGAGGUGGUUGUUAGAUGUGGAGGGUUGUUUCUUCACAUGUUCAUGUCGUGCGAAUCAUAGGGUGAGGUGCGCUCUGAACCUUUUAAGGCUCAGAGCAAACGAUUGGUGGAGGUUCACUACGGGAUCGUAUUUUGAUGUGCAUCGGGCUACGGUUACAUGGGAUCAGUUCUGGGAGAUGUUCAGUACUCGUUAUGUUCCGCAAGUUGAGAGAGAAAGGUUGGCUCAGGAGUUCCUGGAGCUGAAGCAGGAUUCAGAGUCGGUGACGGAGAUCACCAUGAUGUUCACGGAAAGGGCGAUGUUUUGCCUUGAGUUUGCUUCAGAGCAGGCUCAGAUGUCCCGAUAUCUGAGUAUGCUCAAGAGGGAUAUCAGGCAGUUCGUGUCUACGUAGAGGUGCGAGACCUUACUGGAGUUGCAGGAGAUCGCUCGGCGGUGUGAGUUGGAGAUGGAGUUACAGUUGAGAGAGCAGAGGGAGGACCCGGUGCAGUCGCAGCCGGCGCCGAAACGGUCCAACAAUUGAUUCCAAGUUGGGCAGUCAGAGCGGCCGCACUCGGGAAGGGUCAUACCGGAGUUUGUAGGACCGGUGGUGCGUGCCGCAAGAGAGAGGGGCAAUAUGCGAGGGAUUGCCAUCAGUCAGCCCCAGUUCAGGAUAUGAGGAUUUGUUAUCAGUGCCAUCAGGUCGGUCACAUGAGGGCCAACUAUCCACAGCUUAUUUCCAGGCCAGUGCAGGUUCCAACACCAGCCACUUUGAGGACUACUGGAGGGAGCCAGGGUGGAGCGGAGCCUCCGAGGGCUCAAGGGCACGCUUUUCAGCUAACAGCAGAGGAGGUCAAGGUAGAGCCAUAUGCGGUUGCGGUAGUGAGGAUUUGUAAAUGGUUAGCAUCCAAGGGAUUGAUGGUCAGAAUUUGGUUGUAUGGUCUUGUUGCCGGAUAUAGCAAUUGCGAUUUGAGAAGUGUUCAGCGGAGAGUCGAACUCCCUUAGAGUUCGAGAUGUACGAUGCCGGAGGAGUGAUUUUGUAUAGGUUGCUCGUUUUAGAGGGAAUCGGUUCAUGGAUAAGGGGAAUAUGUUGAGUUGGGUUGUUUAAGUGAUGCCGUUUGGGUCACCGGUGGUUGGAAGUCAGUUCUCUAAGUGGGGGAGAAUUGGAAAAUUCUCAGGAGGGUCGAUAAGCAUUAGAGUUUGAUUAGCUGUUUAGGAUCCAGCAGUGUUUCAGUCAGCCAAAAGUGUGGGCUGGUAUGAGUAAGUGACAGACCGAUGGGGCAGAGUACAGACCAAGGAUUUCGGAAAGGGUGAUUGGUUGUUGUGAGGCCUAAGAUUGGGUCGGGAUCUGAGUAUAUGGACUAGAGUUAGAGUUCGGAACCCCUAGAGGGCUAGAACAGUAUGUAUAGGAGAGAUUCCCAGGAGGAAUAGUUCGAAAUGAUGAAUGAUAGUUUCUGCGGUCCGGGGAGACUGAAGGUCGGUGGGUAUACCAGUCAGGCCGAAGGCUCGGAAAAUGGUCUAGACAGGUUGAAGCCCCUGGAGGGUGGUCCAGACAUGCUGAAGGUUCUGAGAGUGGUCCAGAUUGGCUGAAGGCCUGGUAAGGCGGUCCAGUCAUCUUGAAGACUCUGUAAGUGUUGAUAGAUAUGUAUGCGGAAAGUGAUUUAAGUAUGCUGCUACGCAGUAGCAAGCAGUGGGUCUGGCCCCGGGUAUUGAUCAUGUUAGUGGAAGGCAGUGCGUGGACCCAAAAGUCCUUGCGAGCAGAUUUAGAGCAUGUGUGAUGCAUGGAGUAGCGGUUACUCUACAAGGGAUAGUGUAGAGUGGGGUGUGAGCACCGUGGCACUUGUCUGAAGUGGCAAGGUUGGCAAGUAGAUUUCCAUGGAUAAGGAAAGGGAAAGGUAUGUAACUCCGGGAGGGAGUGUUGGUUCACGGAAGUGAAAGCAGUAUUGAGAAUGGAUUAUUGAGAGUAUUUCAACUAUGGUUGUUGAGCACUGUGAUUGUACCAGUGGUAUGGGAACACAUCCGGGUUGGGUGUCUGUUGAGGUUGCGGAAGGAUUUCCGGUAGUGUAGAACCAGAAUAGUUCGGACGGGAUGCAAGGAGGGAGCCUUGGAUUUUCCAGUAUGGUUGUGAUUAGGAAGUUAUGUAUGUAGCGGUAAUUCAUCCUAGGGAUGUGUGAAGGUAUCGUCAGUGUGUCGGGUUUCCAGCCUGAGGAUGUUAGAGCAGGUUCGGCAUGCGUAUGUGACUGCAAGGGAGAUCUCAUGGGAGUUACUCAGGAGCUGAAGGAUGUGCCAUCCUUUCAGCUCGGAAAGAAACGAGUUGGUUUCGGAAAGGAAAGUGGGAUGAGUCCCAGAAGUGAAUUCGAUAAAGGAUAUGCCAGACAAGGAAAGGGGUAGCAGCUUGGUACCGGGUCAGGACCCAGUGGUUCAGGAUGAUAUCUAGCUUGGUAAGGGUCAAGUGAUUGUUGUGAAUUGGAGUGAUGAAAGUAUCCUCGGGUAAUCCUUGGUUAAUAAAGGUUGUUAUCAGAGAAAGAAGUCGGUGGCCGGCUCGAAUCAGUUGUCGUAACUUUGGGAGGGAAGAGUUGGACUUUUUAGAGGUCUGAUAGCAGUGUUCAAAGGAGCCUGGGUCGGUUGAGACCAGGAGCUGUAUUGAGGGAGUGUCAUCUGGGAUGUGUUGCUGCAGGCUUCGAGGACGAAGCCUAAUUUAAGUGGAGGAGAAUUGUAACACCCCGAGUUCAGAAGUGCAAAGUUCAGGGUGCUUGGUGUAAUUAAGGAGAAUAGACUCGGCGAUUCAAGUCGUAAUUUUUGUCACGAGUUUAGUGACCAACUCGACGAGUCGGCGGCUUGACUCGGCGAUUCGGUGCUAGAAUGAGAAACCCUAUUUUACAGGGUUUGCACCCUAUAUAAGGAACCUUAUGUUUUCCCCUCAGCCUCUUCGCUGGCCAUUUGAGAUCCAGAAAAUCAUAAUUCUUGAGGAGACCCCAUUGUUGAGUGAAUUAGAGCUUGGAGGAGGAUCUUUGGUGCUUGAAGCUUGAAGGUUUGAAGGCUUGUAUGAGGAAGCUUGGGGAGAUCAGAAAUCUACAGUUGGUUGGGCUCAUUUCAGGGGUAAGGAACCAUUUCCUUAAGCUGUUUCUUCCUAUAUUCAUGUAUGGUCAUUGAUAUGAGAUCUAAUUUGAGAUAGAAGCUUGGAUCUGAGGAUGCUACUUCAGAUCUAAGCUUGUGAUGGUCCUAUAUGUCAUAAAGUUCCUGUAUAAGAGUUGUUAGUGAAGCUUUUUUGUCCUUAGCCUUAACCCUAGAGCAUUUUGGGCUCAUAGCUCCUAGAGUUCGAGUAAAGUUUGCCACUUUACGUGAGGAAUGGCUUGUAGAAGGGUAGAUACAUGGAUUUGAGCCCCUGCAUGGCUUGGAAAGCCUCUGUAUGUAAUGAGAACUGAAAAGACUCAGCGAGUUCCUUGGGUAUACUCGACGAGCUGGAUGAAGAUAGGCAGGAACUCGACGAGUUGGAAGAACAACUCGGCGAGUCUGUUGAAGAUUGCCUUGGACUCGACGAGUCUGUUCUUGAACUCAGUGAGUCUGGUUGUGAAGUCCUAACCUUUUUGGUUGAGCUGUGAAUCGGUGAGUCGAGGGACGACUCGGUGAGUUAAGCGAGAAAGGACUCAGAGUUUGUUGGACUCGGCGAGUCUUGGGGCGAUUCGGCGAGUUGAGUCGUGGAUUGGGAGUUUCUGAAUUUAGGGACUCGACGAGUCUGCGGGUUGACUCGGCGAGUAGAGUCAGUCAGGAAGGUCGACUUUGACUGAGGACUUUGACUUUGACCAAGAGUUGACCAGUUGACUUCUAGGGGUAUUUUGGUAUUUCUUGAGUUCAGUCUUUUGGUAUUGAUCAGUGGUGGAGUUCGUGUUGGAAGUUGGAGCAACGUGAUCUUAUCUUUUCAGUCAGCAAUUGCAAGGUGAGUUAUCCUCACUAUAUCAACAUUGUCUAAGGCACCAAGGUCGGCCCUUUGUCGGAUGGAAAUCCGGGUAGUUGUUACGUUAUUGCUUUGUUAUAUGUUUGCAUCCUGGUAGUUAGGAUGGUGUAUGUGAGAGACCUGGUUAAGGUCGGAAUCCUGGUAUAUAUAGGAUGAUAUUAUGUUAGUGACCGGUUAGGUCGGUAUCCUGGUUAGAGUAUGCUAUGUAUGUGAUCUGCUAGAUUGGUUGGUUAGUGAUGAAUUGCUAUAUGAUUAUAUGUUUAUGUGCACAUGGUUGGUUGACUGGGGUUGGGUUGAGGCGGGUCCUGCUUUGUGCUGUAGGCCAACAUACCCAGGGCGGACUAGAUAUUCCAAAGGCCCAGCGAGCAGUCUGGAUAAGCUGUAGGCCCUACGAGGGUGGACCAGACGUGCCGAGGCUCGGAGAGUGGACCAGGCCGACUGAAGGCCCAGUGCGGGCGGACCAGUCAUACUAAAGACUCAGAUAGUGGAGCAGGUGGGUUGAAGACCCGGUGCGGGCGGACCAACCACACUGCAGACUCGAUGUAUAUGGCUAAACUCGGGGGGGGGGCAAGGGGGGNUAGACUCAGAGGGUGGACCAGGUGGACUGAAGGCCCGGUGCGGCGGACCAGUCACACAGUAGACCCAAAGUGCAUGGUUGUUCUGUUAUGAUAUGACAUGUUAUGUGUAUGGUAUAUGUGGUUGGUAUUUUGGGGGUAUCUCACUAAGCUUUCGGGCUUACAGUUGUGGUUUAACGUUUCAGGUACUUCAGGAGACCGUGGCAAGGCAAAGGCGUGAUCGUACCGCUCCUCAUGUUUAUGUUUUAUGAUAUGGUUCUAGGAAUACUCUGAUAAUAAAUGUAUUGAAAACCUUUUUGUAAUAACUUAAUGAAAUUGGGUU
rnacentral:lncRNA from 1 species